AUCUGAUCUCACGAUUAGCAAGCCAGCCUUGAGUUGCUGUAUGAAGAUAGUGGAGCUUCUGAAUCUUCUGCCAUGACAGAACCUAGAGUGGGAAAGCUAAGAGCUGGCAAUAUCAUAAUUGUCCAUGGUGUACAGAAGCUGUCCUGGAAUAAUAGCAAAGAUGACCUUAUUGGCAUUUUUUUAUUAUCUCCUCUGAGGAAGGGAAGAGUCCCAGCACUGCAAGGAAACUAAUGAGUUGAGAAUUCUGUAUUUUCAUUGCAUGUUGGAAAUAAACAUGAUGAAUAAUGCCAUCUUCCUUAAUACAACUUGCUUGCACAGACUAUGUAUGCUGUGGAUCAGUUUAAGUUCUCUUCCUGAGUAGCCAGUCCAAAUGCUGGAGGUGCAGAGCCUGAAAAAAGGUAAGACACUUUCAACUUGCCAGCAAAUAUAGCCUCCCUCAGUCCUUUCAAAGUCCAGCACACAAGGUGCCUAACCUCGCUGCCCACUUUGUUAAUAUGCAGAUACUCCUGAGUUGU